CGCAUAAGCGCACGGCAUCGCAUGAUGCAGUGUGAAAAACUCCGGUGGUAUAAGAUGGACCCGCGUUGGAUUAGCUAGUUGGUGAGGUAACGGCCCACCAAGGCGACGAUCCAUAGCCGACCUGAGAGGGUGACCGGCCACAUUGGGACUGAGACACGGCCCAAACUCCUACGGGAGGCAGCAGUGGGGAAUAUUGCACAAUGGGCGAAAGCCUGAUGCAGCGACGCCGCGUGAGCGAAGAAGUAUUUCGGUAUGUAAAGCUCUAUCAGCAGGGAAGAUAAUGACGGUACCUGACUAAGAAGCACCGGCUAAAUACGUGCCAGCAGCCGCGGUAAUACGUAUGGUGCAAGCGUUAUCCGGAUUUACUGGGUGUAAGGGAGCGCAGCGGUGCGGCAAGUCUGAUGUGAAAGCCCGGGGCUCAACCCCGGUACUGCAUUGGAAACUGUCGUACUAGAGUGUCGGAGGGGUAAGCGGAAUUCCUAGUGUAGCGGUGAAAUGCGUAGAUAUUAGGAGGAACACCAGUGGCGAAG
rnacentral:rRNA from 1 species